rnacentral:miRNA from 1 species
UGAUGAUAAUCAUGAUGAUGAUGAUGAUGAUCAUCAUCAUCAACAACAACA